GGGCGCAUAGCUCAGUCGGUAGAGCAACUGCCUUUUAAGCAGUAGGUCGUUGGUUCGAGUCCAACUGCGCCCA
rnacentral:tRNA from 1 species